CCUACGUGAGGCAGCAGUAGGGAAUCUUCCACAAUGGGCGAAAGCCUGAUGGAGCAACGCCGCGUGGGUGAAGAAGGUCUUCGGAUCGUAAAACCCUGUUGUUAGAGAAGAAAGUGCGUGAGAGUAACUGUUCACGUUUCGACGGUAUCUAACCAGAAAGCCACGGCUAACUACGUGCCAGCAGCCGCGGUAAUACGUAGGUGGCAAGCGUUAUCCGGAUUUAUUGGGCGUAAAGGGAACGCAGGCGGUCUUUUAAGUCUGAUGUGAAAGCCUUCGGCUUAACCGGAGUAGUGCAUGGGAAACUGGGAGACUUGAGGGCAGAAGAGGAGAGUGGAACUCCAUGUGUAGCGGUGAAAUGCGUAGAUAUAUGGAAGAACACCAGUGGCGAGAGCGGCUCUCUGGUCUGUAACGGACGCUGAGGUUCGAAAGCGUGGGUAGCAUACAGGAUUAGAUACCCGGGUAGUC
rnacentral:rRNA from 1 species